rnacentral:tRNA from 1 species
GGUGAUAGCUCAGUGGUAGCUAGAGCGCUUGCCUCGCACACUUGAGGCUCUGGGUUCAAUCCUCAGCACCA